GACGAACGCUGGCGGCGUGCUUAACACAUGCAAGUCGAGCGGUAAGGCCCUUUCGGGGGUACACGAGCGGCGAACGGGUGAGUAACACGUGGGUGACCUGCCCUCAGCUCUGGGAUAAGCCUGGGAAACCGGGUCUAAUACUGGAUAUGACUCCAUGGCGCAUGUUGUGGGGUGGAAAGCCUUGUGCGGCUGAGGAUGGGCCCGCGGCCUAUCAGCUUGUUGGUGGGGUGANGGCCUACCAAGGCGACGACGGGUAGCCGGCCUGAGAGGGCGACCGGCCACACUGGGACUGAGACACGGCCCAGACUCCUACGGGAGGCAGCAGUGGGGAAUCUUGCGCAAUGGGCGAAAGCCUGACGCAGCGACGCCGCGUGAGGGAUGACGGCCUCGG
rnacentral:rRNA from 1 species